rnacentral:rRNA from 1 species
CCUACGUGAGGCAGCAGUGGGGAAUAUUGCGCAAUGGGCGAAAGCCUGACGCAGCGACGCCGCGUGAGGGAUGAAGGUCUUCGGAUCGUAAACCUCUGUCAGCAGGGAAGAACGGUCACUGUGCUAAUCAGCAGUGAAUUGACGGUACCUGCAAAGGAAGCACCGGCUAACUCCGUGCCAGCAGCCGCGGUAAUACGGAGGGUGCGAGCGUUAAUCGGAAUUACUGGGCGUAAAGCGCUCGUAGGAGGUAUGUCAAGUCAAGGGUGAAAUCCCCGGGCUCACGGUGGGAACUGCCUUUGAAACUGGCAAACUGGAGUGUGUGAGAGGAUAGUGGAAUUCCAGGUGUAGGAGUGAAAUCCGUAGAUAUCUGGAGGAACAUCAGUGGCGAAGGCGACUAUCUGGCACAUAACUGACGCUGAGGAGCGAAAGCGUGGGUAGCAAACAGGAUUAGAUACCCGAGUAGUC